rnacentral:rRNA from 1 species
GACAGAGGGUGCAAACGUUGUUCGGAAUUACUGGGCAUAAAGCGCACGUAGGUGGUCCACUAAGUCGAGUGUGAAAUCCCCCGCUCAACCGGGGAAUUGCGCUCGAUACUGGCGGGCUAGAGGUCGAUAGGGGUGAGCGGAACUCCAGGUGGAGCGGUGAAAUGCGUAGAUAUCUGGAGGAACACCGGUGGCGAAAGCGGCUCACUGGAUCGAAACUGACACUGAGGUGCGAAAGCUAGGGUAGCAAACGGGG